ACUUAAGCAUAUCAAUAAGCGGAGGAAAAGAAACCAACAGGGAUUGCCCUAGUAACGGCGAGUGAAGCGGCAACAGCUCAAAUUUGAAAUCUGGCUCUUUUAGAGUCCGAGUUGUAAUUUGCAGAGGGCGCUUUGGCUUUGGCAGCGGUCCAAGUUCCUUGGAACAGGACGUCACAGAGGGUGAGAAUCCCGUACGUGGUCGCUGGCUAUUGCCGUGUAAAGCCCCUUCGACGAGUCGAGUUGUUUGGGAAUGCAGCUCUAAAUGGGAGGUACAUUUCUUCUAAAGCUAAAUAUUGGCCAGAGACCGAUAGCGCACAAGUAGAGUGAUCGAAAGAUGAAAAGCACUUUGGAAAGAGAGUCAAACAGCACGUGAAAUUGUUGAAAGGGAAGCGCUUGCAGCCAGACUUGCUUACAGUUGCUCAUCCGGGUUUCUACCCGGUGCACUCUUCUGUAGGCAGGCCAGCAUCAGUUUGGGCGGUAGGAUAAAGGUCUCUGUCACGUACCUCCUUUCGGGGAGGCCUUAUAGGGGAGACGACAUACUACCAGCCUGGACUGAGGUCCGCGCAUCUGCUAGGAUGCUGGCGUAAUGGCUGUAAGCGGCCCGUCUUGAAACACGGACCAAGGAGUCUAACAUCUAUGCGAGUGUUUGGGUGUCAAGCCCGAGCGCGUAAUGAAAGUGAACGGAGGUGGGAACCCGCAAGGGUGCACCAUCGACCGAUCCUGAUGUCUUCGGAAGGAUUUGAGUAAGAGCAUGGCUGUUGGGACCCGAAAGAUGGUGAACUAUGCUUGAAUAGGGUGAAGCCAGAGGAAACUCUGGUGGAGGCUCGCAGCGGUUCUGACGUGCAAAUCGAUCGUCAAAUUUGGGCAUAGGGCGAAAGACUAAUCGAACUAUCUAGUAGCUGGUCC
rnacentral:rRNA from 1 species